UCUCUUUUGGAGAUUGCUUCUCUUGGAGCCUUCUCAGCAAGUUUAGGAUAAGGUGUGAUACAUUUUCAGCAAGGCCCUGUCUCCCAUUUGGGCUUCAUGGGGUUUUAGCAAGCUUGAGGCCCUGACCACUACCCUGGGGAACAAGUUUCAGAGUCUGACUGCUAUCUGAGUGUUUUUCCUGAUAUCCAACCUGAGCCUUGAACCUCCCCUGAUGCAGCUCCAUGCCAUUCCCUUGGGAUCGUUGUUGAGAUCAUUGUUACUAUCAUUGUUACUAGAGAGAAGAGGCCUGCCCCUAAUCUCCCUUUGUAAGGAAGUUGUAGUCCUCAUGAGGACUCCCCUCAAUCUCCUCUUCUCUGGGCUGAAUAGUUCAAUGGAUGUCAGCCAUUCCCCAUGAUAGUCAUGCCCUCUGGACUCUUCACUGUCUUUGAAAGCUCUCUGCUGGUUUCACAUCCUUCCUGUGGCACCCAAAACUGUUCACAGUACUUGAGGUAAAGCCACUGCAGCUCAUAGCAGUACAGGAGAAUCGCUUUCAUUCACUGGGAUUGAUGCUGGGCCAUAUAUACAUACGUGUGUGUGUA